GUGGGGAAUUUUGGACAAUGGGCGAAAGCCUGAUCCAGCCAUGCCGCGUGCAGGAUGAAGGCCUUCGGGUUGUAAACUGCUUUUGUACGGAACGAAAAGACUCUGGUUAAUACCUGGGGUCCAUGACGGUACCGUAAGAAUAAGCACCGGCUAACUACGUGCCAGCAGCCGCGGUAAUACGUAGGGUGCAAGCGUUAAUCGGAAUUACUGGGCGUAAAGCGUGCGCAGGCGGUUAUAUAAGACAGAUGUGAAAUCCCCGGGCUCAACCUGGGAACUGCAUUUGGGACUGUAUAGCUAGAGUACGGCAGAGGGGGAUGGAAUUCCGCGUGUAGCAGUGAAAUGCGUAGAUAUGCGGAGGAACACCGAUGGCGAAGGCAAUCCCCUGGGCCUGUACUGACGCUCAUGCACGAAAGCGUGGGGAGCAAACAGGAUUAGAUACCCGAGUAGUCC
rnacentral:rRNA from 1 species